AUCCUGUUGAAUGCUUCCAUCCUCAUAUACUCGACCACUGUCCACUAAUCCCACCGAUACUUGACAUGAACAGUAAACGAGGUAACCCUAAGAUUCGCUGACAGAAUCCUUGUCGAUAACCAAAAGAUUUGCCGUUCCACCGUCCGUGUCUUUGAACUGGUAGAAGCACCGCACCUGGCUCGCUUUAAGAGCGAUCUCUGCCUGCGCCGGCCACCAACAGUAGCCUUUCAAACAUUUGUAGCAUUCGAAGCAUCCGCACGCAUCGAAAAGUUCCGUUUUCUCCUACCUGCCUAAGUUUCCAGUACAAUUCCUCUCAUCUUCCCUCUCUGAUGAAAUGGCGCGAUCUGGGCCCUGAAAUCUCGGAAUCCCGAAGCAGAGGAUGGAUUUGAAGGCUCCGGGGACGUGUUCUUGUGGCGCCCGCCGUCUGCGUUGGAGGGAUCUGGGACAUGGGAAGCCGGUAGCGCUGUCGGUGCCGGUGCCAGCUUGGAGGCGGGAGAGGGCGCAAGGCAGGAGACCGAAGCAUUUCGGUUUGUCCGUUAAGCUGGUGAAAGAUGAGAGCUUGUCAUUGCCGCGGGCUUCUUUCUCCUUGACUCCAACUCCUCCCGAGGAGGAGUCCGUAAGGAACCAGAACCUUAGUUUGCUCCCGCUCCCAAAACCAUUGUCUUCAACAGAUCUUUCUGUUUCUGGCCAUAAACCUAACAUACGUGUAGCAUAUCAGGGUUGCCCAGGUGCAUUCGGUGAGGCUGCUGCUCGUAAAGUAUACCCAGAUUGUCAAGCAGUUCCAUGCGAACAGUUUGAAGUUGCUUUCAAGGCGGUCCAACUUUGGCUGGCUGAUAAAGCAGUUCUUCCAAUUGAGAAUUCAUCAUUUGGAAGCUAUCAUCGGACUCAUGACUUGCUUCUUUCUCAUAGUUUGCAUAUUGUGGGUGAGGUGCAAUUGGCUGUUGACCACUGUCUUAUGGCUCUGCCAGGUGUGAAAAAAAAGGAGCUAAAACGUGUCUUAAGCCACCCGCAGGCACUUGGGCAAUGCGAGAUUGCACUGAGCAAAUUAGGCGUCAUUCGAGAGAGUUUUGAUGAUACUGCUGGUGCUGCUCGGUUGAUAGCUUCAAAAGGUUUAGGAGAUGUUGGAGCAAUUGCAAGUGCCCAAGCUGCAGAGAUAUACGGGCUUCAUAUACUUGAGGACAAGAUACAGGACAUCUCUUUUAAUAUUACACGUUUUCUGAUUCUGGCUCGGGAACCCAUAAUUCCAAGGAUUGGCUGUCCUUUUAAGACAAGCAUUGUAUUCACUCUUGAAGAUGGUUCUGGGGUACUAUAUAAAGCAUUGGCAGUUUUUGCUCUUAGAAAUAUAAAUCUGACAAAGAUAGAGAGCAGGCCACAACGUAAACGCCCUCUGAGGUUUGUUGAUGAUACAGAUCAUGGUACUGCCAAGUACUUUGAUUAUCUUUUCUACAUUGAUUUUGAAGCAUCCAUGGCGGAGCCCCGUGCACAAAAUGCCUUGUCCAACCUACAGGAAUUUGUUACAUUUCUUCGAGUUCUAGGCUCUUUUCCAAUGGAUAUAACUCUGUAAUAUCUCCAAAGAAAUUUUCCUACAUACAUUACUAAGACAAGGCCCGAUCAAGGUUCAUUUGUCGAAAAUUUAUGCUGAUGAAUGCUCUCCUAGAAGCUCAAAGGGUUCUCUCUAAUGAAGGAUAUGAACAUCCUGUUUCCAGUUCCUUGCCUUCUUCAGGUGAAGUGAUGAGCUGAUUGGAACACCCAUGAUCAUGUCCUUGUGAGUUUCCCCAUUAGAUUCCCGUACUAAUCUAUGCAUUU